CGGGGUGCACCAGGCGCGAAAACUUUACAAUGCGGGAAGCCGUGAUAAGGGGACACCGAGUGCCAGCAUCAUAUGCUGGCUGUCCAGGUGUGUAAAAUACACCUGUUAGCAAGGGCCGGGCAAGACCGGUGCCAGCCGCCGCGGUAACACCGGCGGCCCGAGUGGUGAUCGUGAUUAUUGGGUCUAAAGGGUCCGUAGCCGGUUUGGUCAGUCCUCCGGGAAAUCUGACGGCUCAACCGUUAGGCUUUCGGGGGAUACUGCCAGGCUUGGAACCGGGAGAGGUAAGAGGUACUACAGGGGUAGGAGUGAAAUCUUGUAAUCCCUGUGAGACCACCUGUGGCGAAGGCGUCUUACCAGAACGGGUUCGACGGUGAGGGACGAAAGCUGGGGGCACGAACCGGAUUAGAUACCCGGGUAGUCCCAGCCGUAAACGAUGCUCGCUAGGUGUCAGGCAUGGCGCGACCGUGUCUGGUGCCGCAGGGAAGCCGUGAAGCGAGCCACCUGGGAAGUACGGCCGCAAGGCUGAAACUUAAAGGAAUUGGCGGGGGAGCAC
rnacentral:rRNA from 1 species